GUGUUCGCUACCCUCACGGGUAGCAAACCUCACCCUUGUGUAUUAUAUCUUUGUUGCUUUGGCACGCCGCCUUCGGGCACUGGCUUCGGCUGGCUCGCGCGUGUCAGAGGACCCCAAACUCUAAAUGUUAGUGUCGUCUGAGUACUAUCUAAUAGUUAAAACUUUCAACAACGGAUCUCUUGGUUCU
rnacentral:misc_RNA from 1 species